rnacentral:rRNA from 1 species
AUGGCCCCCACCGCGGAGCCGGCGUCCCCGGCGCCGCCGCGGCGCCCGCGCUCCGGCCCGCCCCCCGGGCUCAAGAACCUCGGCAACACCUGCUACCUCAACAGCGUCCUCCAGUGCCUCGCCUCCACGCCUCCGCUCGCCAGCUUCUGUCUCGCCUCCCGCCACUCCAAUCUAUGCAAAAAAGUGUUUCCCAACAGGGACAAGGAGUGCGCCUUCUGCGUCCUCGAGCGGCAGAUUGUGCGGCAGCUUCGGGCGGAGGCAGGGGCGCUCGACUCGCCUGGGAAGGUCCUCCGCAGCCUGCCGCUCUUCGCCGAGCACUUCCGGUGGGGGCGCCAGGAGGACGCCCACGAGUUCCUGCGCUACGUCAUAGACGCUUGUCACACUGCCUGCCUCCGCAUACGCAAGCGCCUCCCCGUGGCAACUGCCAAUGGCGACUGUGGCCCGGAGGAGGGCCGAGGUCAGGGGAGCUGUAUGGUGAUGAGGGAGACAUUUGGCGGGGCACUGCUCAGCCAGGUGAAGUGCCUUGUGUGCAAGGGAGAGUCAAACAAGACCGACGAGAUCAUGGACCUCAGCCUCGACCUGCUCGGGACCAGUUCUGUUGGCGAUGCCCUUACAUGCUUCUUCAAGCCUGAGGUAUUGGAGGGUGCAAACAAAUACAGUUGUGAAAGAUGCAAGAAGCUCACCUCAGCUCGGAAGCAAAUGUUCAUACUCAAGGCACCUAAGGUUCUUGUUAUACAACUCAAGAGGUUCGAUGGAAUACAUGGUGGGAAGAUCAAUAGGAACAUAGAGUUCAAGGAAGGUCUUGUUCUUUCCGACUUCAUGUAUGACAAAAACCAGGACCCACAACCGGUAUAUAAUCUUUUUGGCAGCAUCGUCCAUUCAGGUUUCUCCCAAGAUUCUGGUCAUUACUAUGCAUAUGUUAAGGAUGCUACUGGUCGCUGGUACUGUUGUAAUGAUUCUCAGGUCUCCCUGUCAAGAUCUCAGGACGUUUUGACUGAGAAGGUCUAUAUCCUAUUCUAUAUACUGAGUUCCAAAACUCAAACAAAUAGUACAAAUGGUUACUCUUCUAGUGCAGUUAAAUCUUCCAACACCAAUGGGAAUGGCAUAUCAAGUGCCGCAUGUAGUGAGCCCCUGAAGAUACCAUUAGUGAAGCAGAACGGCUCAUGCUCUACUAAAGGUAUUGUGCCACUACCCCUAAAGAAUGGCAAGAUUGCACCAGGUCUACAGUUCAAGCCGAUCCACUUGAAGAAUACAGGAACAGAGAAGGUUGCAUCAAAUGGCAAACCGCACCCCGUUUUGAGAAAGCCAGAAGUUAAUGAAGCCACAGCACUAGUGGAAUCGAACGGAUGCGGACCCGCAAAAUCUGCAGAACCCAGUGAAGGGUAUGCUAAUGGUAGUAUUUCCUGCGAUAAGUUGGACGCUGAUUCACAAAGAAUGUUGCAAGGCACAGAUGGAAAUGGACAUCCAGUUCAUUUUGUUGGCCUCCAAGAGACCAGUGGUGCCAAGGCCACGUGUGCUGAAAACCCCCCUGAACAGCCAUCUAGUGUUGUUACCUCAACAUUGGACAAGAGCAUUUGUAGUUCAGAAAAGGGUCCUAAAAGCUCAGUUUUACACCCUGAAGUAUCUGCUGACUCAGUCAAAGCAGUGGUGGCUUCAGCCAAGGACAGUGCAUGCUUGAAGCAUCAUCUUGAAGAAGGAAAGUUUAAGGAAAUGCUUGCUGAAUCAGCAUCUUCUGAGCUUCGGUCGUCUGGUUGGGCGGAUGAUGUAUGUAAUUUUAUGCGUUCUGCAAAGAGGCAGUGUAUACAGAACACAGGCAUGUCUCAAGAUAGUGAGGCAAUCAGGAAGCAGCUAAUAAGUGAUUCUGGAAGAGUAUUUAGGUCCAAAAUUCCAGAGUUACUGCGGGAAGAUCUGAUUCAAUCCCUGAGAUCAUACUUCGAGGAUAAAUUUUGA